UCCGGUUUGACACCGGCAGUCUCGCUAGAGUCCUCAGCAUUACCUGUUAGCAACUAGCGACAGGGGUUGCGCUCGUUAAGGGACUUAACCCAACACUUCACAGCACGAGCUGACGACAGCCAUGCAGCACCUGUGUACGUUCCACCCGAAGGUGUCAUUCCACUUUCAUGGAACUAAUCCGUACAUGUCAAGCCUAGGAUAAGGUUCUUCGCGUUGCAUCGAAUUAAGCCACAUGCUCCACCGCUUGUGUGAGCCCCCGUCAAUUCCUUUGAGUUUUAGCCUUGCGACCGUACUCCCCAGGCGGUGCACUUAACACUUUUGCUUCGACCAAGAAUGGUGUCAGAACCUCCUCGAUCUAGUGCACAUCGUUUACGGCGUGGACUA
rnacentral:misc_RNA from 1 species